UACGGAGGGUGCAAGCGUUAUCCGGAUUCACUGGGUUUAAAGGGUGCGUAGGCGGCCCGUUAAGUCAGCGGUGAAAUCCCACGGCUCAACCGUGGAACUGCCGUUGAUACUGGCGGGCUUGAGUUCGGUCGAGGCGGGCGGAACUGGUGGUGUAGCGGUGAAAUGCUUAGAUACCACCAAGAACCCCGAUUGCGUAGGCAGCUCGCUGGGCCGAAACUGACGCUGAGGCACGAAAGCGUGGGGAGCGAACAGG
rnacentral:rRNA from 1 species